UUUUGGAGGGAGAAACUAAGGAGAUUCAAUGAUGAUUUUGUAACAAUUCAAUAAUCUCCACAAUGUCCUUGUCAGAGUUGCAUAUCUAAUUUGUGUUGUAGAACUCCAAUGCUUUAUGGAUCCCAAGUGUACAAAAUUUUGAGUUCAUCAUCUACCCACCUACACAUUUCCUCUUACAAAUAUUUUGCAAAGUUUGAUCAAUGCCAACACACUCCAAUCUUAUAGUAGUGACCUUUGCCAUAUUGAAACAUAGAAAGCAUACUCCACACAAGUAAGUUAGGACCAGCAAGGUUGCAC
rnacentral:lncRNA from 1 species